rfam:Ailuropoda melanoleuca scaffold2693_8, whole genome shotgun sequence.
CCAAAGGCUCUUUUCAGAGCCACCCACCUUUUCUGAGGAAGAACUG